rnacentral:rRNA from 1 species
UACGAAGGGGGCUAGCGUUGCUCGGAAUCACUGGGCGUAAAGGGUGCGUAGGCGGGUCUUUAAGUCAGGGGUGAAAUCCUGGAGCUCAACUCCAGAACUGCCUUUGAUACUGGGGAUCUCGAGUCCGGGAGAGGUGAGUGGAACUCCGAGUGUAGAGGUGAAAUUCGUAGAUAUUCGGAAGAACACCAGUGGCGAAGGCGGCUCACUGGCCCGGUACUGACGCUGAGGUGCGAAAGCGUGGGGAGCAACAGG